rnacentral:rRNA from 1 species
CAUGCAAGUCGAGCGCCCCGCAAGGGGAGCGGCAGACGGGUGAGUAACGCGUGGGAAUCUACCCAUCUCUACGGAACAACUCCGGGAAACUGGAGCUAAUACCGUAUACGUCCUUCGGGAGAAAGAUUUAUCGGAGAUGGAUGAGCCCGCGUUGGAUUAGCUAGUUGGUGGGGUAAAGGCCUACCAAGGCGACGAUCCAUAGCUGGUCUGAGAGGAUGAUCAGCCACAUUGGGACUGAGACACGGCCCAAACUCCUACGGGAGGCAGCAGUGGGGAAUAUUGGACAAUGGGCGCAAGCCUGAUCCAGCCAUGCCGCGUGAGUGAUGAAGGCCCUAGGGUUGUAAAGCUCUUUCACCGGUGAAGAUAAUGACGGUAACCGGAGAAGAAGCCCCGGCUAACUUCGUGCCAGCAGCCGCGGUAAUACGAAGGGGGCUAGCGUUGUUCGGAAUUACUGGGCGUAAAGCGCACGUAGGCGGAUUGUUAAGUGAGGGGUGAAAUCCCAGGGCUCAACCCUGGAACUGCCUUUCAUACUGGCAAUCUAGAGUCCAGAAGAGGUGAGUGGAAUUCCGAGUGUAGAGGUGAAAUUCGUAGAUAUUCGGAGGAACACCAGUGGCGAAAGCGGCUCACUGGUCUGGAACUGACGCUGA